CAUCCCUUGCUCUAUCUGUCUUCUUAUCUUGGGGUGCCUCGUGUUUACAAGAAACGCGUACGUCCUUUCUAGAAAUUAGCAAGCAGAAUUCAGAAACAAGUGUGUCCAUGUGACAUAAGCAUGCUUCUUAUAAUUUGCUAUUGCAGUGGUUCCCACCUCCUUUGAAGAUUUUAUUCAUUUAUAACCUUCCUCUCUGCUCCCUCACAACCUUACUACAAAGCCUCGCCAGAUUUCUAGAAGUGUUUCUGAGAAUUUUGCAGAUUUGAAGGAGGUUCUGGGCUGCUGUAAAGGCAGGCUAGAUAAUCAGCUCCCACAAGGCUGCAGUUUGUAACUGGAGUCUCAGAAAUCAAAAAUUCCACUCUAUAAUUAUCACAGAUGAGAACUGUGCCUCCACAGCAUGUAUCCAUUAUGGGGAAGGAAAGUGGAAGAUCGAGAUAGCUGGUUUUCAUGUUCCUGCAGUGCUGGAUUUUUUCUUCUUCUUUUUUUUUUUUAUUUUUUUAAGACAGUUUCUGUCACCCAGGCUGGAGUACAGUGGUGUAAUCAAAGCUCACUGCAGCCUCAACCUCCUGGGCUCAAGUGAUCCUCCUGCCUCAGCCUUCAAAGUUGCUGGGACCACAGGCAUUCGCCACCAUGCCUGGCUAAUUUUUGUAUUUUUUUUUGCAGAGACAGGGUUUCAUUAUGUUGCCCAGGGUGGUCUUGAACUCCUGAACUUGCGCAAUCUGCCAGCCACGGCCUCCCAAAGUGCUGGGAUUAUAGGCAUAAGCCACCAUGACUUGCUGGGUAUUCAAAUCACAACUUGGCUCUUACAGAAACUUUCUUAUUUGCAAAAGAAAAUCUGCAAAGAUCAGGAAACAGGGCUGCUCCAUGCUUUCCACCUCCACCCCUACCCCUACCCCAUGCCCAGCUCUCCCCAGCUUCUCCAGGGACCAGACAUUCUGACAAAUGGCUAGUCUAGGGUUCUAUGGACCAAGGCAACCAGAGGUUGAUUCUUCUCCCUGCUGCUACCUCUAACACAAUCCCAA
rnacentral:lncRNA from 10 species